rnacentral:rRNA from 1 species
CAAAAAAAGGCCCCAUUGCUGUCUCUUUUUGUACAGGUAAAAAAGUGUGUGUGUGUUUUUUCUUUUUGUACAGGUAAAACAGAAAAAAACAAAACCCCUCGGUAUACACAAAGUGGACAAGCCUUUCGGAGGUGACUCGGCUUGACGUUCCAAAAAAAAGUGGAUUUUCGGGUUGGCGGGUUCGCUGCCGGUAUCGGUUUUUGGGAUUGGGCGGCGGUGCGGCGGGAGGGAGGUGGGCGCGGCCGCGGCGAAGAGGGGUGGCUAUGUCCGGUUUGGGGAGCGCGCCCCCGUAGCCUCCGCCUCCUCCCUACAGCAGGCUGCCCCUGUUGUUCGCCGACAAGGCGCGUGCCGCGUGCCGCGAUGUCUACAACCGUCUGGCGCCCAUGUUCCACUUCCUGCUGCUUUAGUUCGACAGGGACAUGCUCAAGCAGCUCGCGAUGCCUCUGGGGCAGGCGGCGCUGCUCUAGCAGUAGGUAACGCUCUUCUUCCCGCUCGGGUUGCUGUUCCAGUUGCAGAAGAAGGAGCUGCUCAGGUUCUGGCCGGACCGGCACCAGUCCUCGACGCAGCUCUUCUACUUCGACCCCUUGCGGUGGUUACCGUAUGAGCAGGACGUCUUCCGCGACUCGCCGGGCCGGGCCUGGCUCCAGCGCGUCUCGUUCUUCAUGGUGGAGCUCCAGAAGGUCCUUCCCCUCGAAGAACAUUUGUAAUGACUUGUGGUAGAGCAAGGCUUCGUGCUCGAGGACUCACUGCUCCUCUUCUUCCUCGACGACGUCUUUAUGUGACGGGUGCUUUGAGUCGAGGGGUCCUAAGUCGAGUGCCUAGGCCAUCGUUCUAUGAUGCCGUACUUCGCACCCGUCCACCACUUCUAGUGGGCCGUCUCGCUUCAACGGCCUGUUAUGCACUGGAUGGCGAUGCAGUAGACUAGGAGUGGUUGCAUAGUUCCGAACUCCAACCAGACCCUUAAUUUUACCAAGGAAGCAGCGGUUUGGGAGGGUCAUGGUCUUUCUUCGUAACGACACACACACCUCCUUGGUUCCACGAGCGACUUCACCGAUCCACGGGGAAACAUGGAAGGACCGUUAAACUGUACUUCACCGAUCCACGAGACACACACACACACACACACCUCCUUGGUUCCACGAGCGACUUCACCGAGCCACGGGGAAACAAACAUUGAACGACCGUUAAACUGUACUCAUACAAUCGAUCUUUUUAUGUCAUCCAAAGACACAUCUACACAACACAAGGCACGACGAUUUAUGCACUGAGAGCUGAUAUGCACUCUACGGAACCAGACAACACUUUAAGUCAAUGAACACGCGGGGCCAUAAAAACAAUGCCAU